UUUUAUGGAGAGUUUGAUCCUGGCUCAGGAUGAACGCUGGCGGCGUGCCUAAUACAUGCAAGUCGAGCGAAAAGACGAGAAGCUUGCUCCUCUGACGUUAGCGGCGGACGGGUGAGUAACACGUGGAUAACCUACCUAUAAGACUGGGAUAACUUCGGGAAACCGGAGCGAAUACCGGAUAAUAUAUUGAACAGCAUGGUUCAAUAG
rnacentral:rRNA from 1 species